UGGAAACUCCUCAAAAAGUUAGAAAUUCAUCAACCAUUGCUGUGGACAUCACCAUAGAAACAAACACUCCCACUGGGUGUUCUGUGUGCUGUCUUGCUAGAAAUCGACCUUUUGGGAACAUUU
rnacentral:snoRNA from 1 species